rnacentral:rRNA from 1 species
GACGAACGCUGGCGGCGUGCUUAACACAUGCGAGUCGAACGGAAAGGCCCUGCUUUUGUGGGGUGCUCGAGUGGCGAACGGGUGAGUAACACGUGAGUAACCUGCCCUUGACUUUGGGAUAACUUCAGGAAACUGGGGCUAAUACCGGAUAGGAGCUCCUGCUGCAUGGUGGGGGUUGGAAAGUUUCGGCGGUUGGGGAUGGACUCGCGGCUUAUCAGCUUGUUGGUGGGGUAGUGGCUUACCAAGGCUUUGACGGGUAGCCGGCCUGAGAGGGUGACCGGCCACAUUGGGACUGCGAUACGGCCCAGACUCCUACGGGAGGCAGCAGUGGGGAAUCUUGCACAAUGGGCGGAAGCCUGAUGCAGCAACGCCGCGUGCGGGAUGACGGCCUUCGGGUUGUAAACCGCUUUCGCCUGUGACGAAGCGUGAGUGACGGUAAUGGGUAAAGAAGCACCGGCUAACUACGUG